rnacentral:rRNA from 1 species
CGACAACGGGUAGCCGGGUUGAGAGACCGACCGGCCAGAUUGGGAUUGAGACACGGCCCAGACUCCUACGGGAGGCAGCAGUGGGGAAUCUUGCGCAAUGGGGGGAACCCUGACGCAGCGACGCCGCGUGCGGGACGGAGGCCUUCGGGUCGUAAACCGCUUUCAGCAGGGAAGAGUCAAGACUGUACCUGCAGAAGAAGCCCCGGCUAACUACGUGCCAGCAGCCGCGGUAAUACGUAGGGGGCGAGCGUUAUCCGGAUUCAUUGGGCGUAAAGCGCGCGUAGGCGACCCGGCAGGCCGGGGGUCGAAGCGGGGGGCUCAACCCCCCGAAGCCCCCGGAACCUCCGCGGCUUGGGUCCGGUAGGGGAGGGUGGAACACCCGGUGUAGCGGUGGAAUGCGCAGAUAUCGGGUGGAACACCGGUGGCGAAGGCGGCCCUCUGGGCCGAGACCGACGCUGAGGCGCGAAAGCUGGGGGAGCGAACAGGAUUAGAUACCCUGGUAGUCCCAGCCGU